UACGCAGGGGGCUAGCGUUGUUCGGAAUCACUGGGCGUAAAGGGUGCGUAGGCGGGGUCUUAAGUCAGGGGUGAAAUCCUGGAGCUCAACUCCAGAACUGCCUUUGAUACUGAAGAGUCUUGGGUUCGGGAGAGGUGAGUGGAACUGCGAGUGUAGAGGUGAAAUUCGUAGAUAUUCGCAAGAACACCAGUGGCGAAGGCGGCUCACUGGCCCGAUACUGACGCUGAUGCACGAAAGCGUGGGGAGCAAACAGG
rnacentral:rRNA from 1 species